GUGGGGAAUCUUCCACAAUGGACGAAAGUCUGAUGGAGCAACGCCGCGUGAGUGAAGAAGAGUUUCGGCUCGUAAAGCUCUGUUGUCGGGGACGAAUGUGCAGUAUUUGAAUAAAGUACUGCAAUGACGGUACCUGACGAGGAAGCCACGGCUAACUACGUGCCAGCAGCCGCGGUAAUACGUAGGUGGCAAGCGUUGUCCGGAAUUAUUGGGCGUAAAGGGAGCGCAGGCGGGAAGGUAAGUCGGUCUUAAAAGUGCGGGGCUCAACCCCGUGAUGGGAUCGAAACUAUCUUUCUUGAGUGCAGGAGAGGAAAGUGGAAUUCCUAGUGUAGCGGUGAAAUGCGUAGAUAUUAGGAGGAACACCAGUGGCGAAGGCGACUUUCUGGACGAUGUCUGACGCUGAGGCGCGAAAGCUAGGGGAGCGAACGGGAUUAGAAACCCCGGUAGUCC
rnacentral:rRNA from 1 species